AUGUUGUUUUUGGCAGAAAUCCUCCUCCUCCCCAUCUUAUUUACACUCUCUGUUCACGUCGGCUUCUCUUUGCAGCCUGUUAUUUGCAGAGCAGAGCUUCUUUGCACUUCCUUUUGCCAGCCUCCAGCUGAUCAUGAGCCACAGAACAGUCACCCAGAAACCUGUCACCACUGGAAUGGCACACCAGAAGAGGGAUACGGAGCUUGGAUUGAAGACCCUGCACGACAGGCUGUGGAAGAGGCUGAGUCAGACCAUUGCUCAAAAGGCCAUUACAGCUUUCAGUUGCUGAUCUACUUGCCAUGUGAAAAGGAAUUCAGUGAAGGAUUUCACUUGGCACUUUCGGCUCUGGUGUACAUGGCCUACAAGCUUCUCUCCGGUGCCCAGGGACAUCGCCAGCAAGCUGACACCUAUGCUAUGACCUGUGCACCCGUGCAGUCAUCCUCCUGCCUUGCGCCGCCCAGGGGAGAGUGAGCUGCUGCUGAAGCGCCUCUCCCUGAACCUCCUUUGAAGUUGCAGUCGGUUCAGACAACUGAAAGCUGUGUUGUUGCUGCUGCCCCAGAAGUGAACCACGUAGGGAGGCACCUGUGGCUGGGAGGGCCCUGCAGGGUCCCUUCUGGGAGCAUCUCUGGGGAAGGGAGCAAAUAGAAGUGCCUCAUGGGCUGCAUCCGUACCGUGCUUGGACCAUGCUGACUGCAUUCCAACAUCACAAAUCUUAACAAAGGAAGUAAAAUAGAAGGCCUGGUCACUUAUUCAGAAACUUAAACUGCUAUUAAUAUUACUUCAGUCCUCAACAGUGAUGAUCAAGCCUUUGUGUUCUAACUGGAAUUUUAUUUAUUUGUAAUCAUUAGUUUUCUGAGAUUUAAUGUAAAAAUCAUUGCCCUAAAAAAGAAGCCUUUUAUGGGUUUCUGACUGCUGAUUUUAACCAGCACUUCAGUAUCUGACAAGGGGAACACUUGAUGCUAAUUAUUUUUUGAUGUGAGCAUAAUCAUGUACAAAAUUUGCUUUCAUGCACCGUCUUCUCUAUGAGUUUAUGUUUUUGAAUUGCGAAACUGAACAGGGAAGAAAAAAACCCUUACAAUCUUCAGAGUUAUUACAAUCUGAUUGUCACGGAACAAAAUAUCUUGUCAUCUCCCACUACCUGGAUCUUCUGUAUAACUGUUGCUUUGCAUCAUUUAGUCUAUUAUGCUUGGUUGAUGAUAUUACUUCAAAAUUGUUAUUUAUCCAGCCUAACAAUAAUUCCAAAAAGCAAAGAUAAAAAUUAUGGGCUGAAAUCUACUCUAGAUUCUUAAAAACACAGCCCUAAAAGUUCUCAGUCUGAACUCAAACAUUUGGUGACAUUGAUGACCUUUAACAAAAUAGAACUAGAUUCUGGCUCAAGCAAGAAGAGUGAAGUUAGACUAAAGGAAGAGGUUUUAUCCUCAGUAAGCUGCUACUUAAAACACUGAGAUCUGGAGGCAAUUUAGUGAGCUGAAUUUGCUGCCUCCUCUUAGCUGGAAUAGUUUUGGCACACACAUCUAAAGAGCUAUUUAGCUAGGAGGGAGCUAACCAAUGGUUUGAGAUUAUACACAUCUGUCAGCUAAAUCAAAGAUCCGAAGGCUAAAUCUAGCAUUUGGAGGCAAAAUGUGGAUCCCUGAAUUUUAUGGAACAUUGUGUCUAGAUAGUGAUACAGUUUUCCUACAUACAAAUUCUUUAAAAUGGUGUAAGAUAUAAUAGUUUUCAUUUUAUUUAUAGGUUUCAGAAAUUUAUUGUUAGAAAGAUGGAAGAAAUGUAUUAUGACAGUGACCUGAAAAUUGUAGUUCAGGGAUCUAAUUGUGUUUUCAAGUUAUUCGUGCCAUGGAAGUAAUGGGUAUCUCCUUAGAGAUAAGAAGACAUAAUAUAUAGAAAAGACACUUCUUUUUUAUAAGAAAAGAAAGUCAUUGAUUUGCAAAAACUGUAGAGAUACUGGUUUAUUGUAAAUAUGUUGCAGGCCAUAAGGCUUAGUUAUACUGCAUUGUUAGUCUUUGUAUAUUUUCUGACUCCAAACCCAUUAACAGGAUGAAUAAGACAGGAGAAGCAAGAGCUAUAUAAAUGUGUGUAUAUAUGUAUCAAUCAGCUAGUAUGCAUAUCAUUUAAAAAUAUGCUUUUAUUAUAAAAAUUAUGAAAUACUACAGAGAAAUUAUAAGCCUACAAGUCAUUUACAGUAACUGCAAUUCUGGCUAAUACAUUCCUGAACUGGUUUUUAUGGCACAGAUGGUAACAUCAUAACUUCAGAUCUCAUUCCCAUCCAUUGCUGGCUGUUCCUGGGUGUGGGAAGAGGUGAUGAUUAGCUAAGACAAAUCUAGCUGUUCACAACAUCUUGUUGAAACUUUGUUGUUAUUGAUGAUAAAAAUGACUUUGGAAUAAAAUGAAGAUUUUACUGGGAAAAUGCCUGUUU
ensembl:lncRNA